GAAGGAAUGUUGCUAUCUGUUUUAUGAUUAGCAUGCCUUGGAACAUUGAGUCACAAAGGUCACAUUCUCAAGCCUGGGCCUUAAGGCCUAGUUUUUUGUUGUUGUUGUUUUUUUUUUUAUGUUACACUUUUUCAGUAUCAAAUGUCUCUGCCCUCUGAGCCAUCUUGACACUUGAGACCAUCAAUACUUCUUUUUCUUCUUCUGAAGAACAUAGAUAUAUAUUACCAACAGUUCAAAGUUCAAGGAUGAGCUCUAUUACAGUCUGCUACUCCCAUCCAUGCUAUUGUACUGACUAGACACACCACUGGACUAUGUCAGCUCUUGGUGAUGGACAAAGGACGGAGUAUACGGAAAAGAGAUGCAGAAGAAGCAAGUUAAUUAGAGGCCCAGUGGUGGAGCUCAAAAAGCCUGUGAGCAGAGGAAAGCUGAAACCAAGCAGCAGAGGCAAGAGAGCAUCUCCCUAUAGGACUAUCUGCUCUUCUGCUCUUCUCUGCCCUGAGGACACAUCUGGUUCAGCCAAGCUAGUGAGUAUUCUCCUAAUUUAUGUCACUGGUUAGAAAUUACUUUUACAUUGCAGUUUCUCUCUAAUUACUGUUUUGUACAACCAAGAAAGUAUGGAGGUCAAAUUGUGUGGUGAUCAUUUUACACACUGUGGUUUGUUUAGUCCAAUUUCAACAGUGACAUGUUAGUGGUUG
rnacentral:lncRNA from 1 species